rnacentral:rRNA from 1 species
GACGAAGGUGGCAAGCGUUGCUCGGAAUCACUGGGCAUAAAGCGCGCGCAGGCGGCCACGUAAGUCGGAUGUGAAAUCCCGGGGCUCAACCCCGGAACUGCAUUCGAUACUGCGUGGCUCGAGGUAGGUAGGGGAGAUCGGAAUUCCUGGUGUAGCGGUGGAAUGCGCAGAUAUCAGGAGGAACACCGGUGGCGAAGGCGGAUCUCUGGGCCUUACCUGACGCUCAGGCGCGAAAGCUAGGGGAGCGAACAGG